rnacentral:lncRNA from 1 species
CACUAACACUAGCAGGCUGGAGGAGAAUAGCUGUUUAGUUCCUCUUUGCUUCCUACCGUUGCAUGGUGAAGAAGCAAAUCUUUAUGAGGCCAUUCCAGGAUAAUUCAGGCACAAAAGACAUCUUAACAGCUUUAUUAUUUAGGAUCUGAUAAGGGAAAGACAAAAUCAAGAACUGUCAGGAAACAGAAGACAUUAAUUUAAAAAAAAAUGACGGAAACGUC